rnacentral:rRNA from 1 species
AUUGAACGCUGGCGGCAGGCCUAACACAUGCAAGUCGAACGAGUGGCGGACGGGUGAGUAAUGUCUGGGAAACUGCCCGAUGGAGGGGGAUAACUACUGGAAACGGUAGCUAAUACCGCAUACCAUCGGAUGUGCCCAGAUGGGAUUAGCUAGUAGGUGGGGUAACGGCUCACCUAGGCGACGAUCCCUAGCUGGUCUGAGAGGAUGACCAGCCAAACUGGAACUGAGAAACGGGCCAGACUCCGACGGGAGGCAGCAGGGGGGAAUAUUGGACAAUGGGGGCAAGCCUGAUGCAGCCAUGCCGCGUGGAUGAAGAAGGCCUUCGGGUUGUAAAGGACGUUCAGCGGGGAGGCGUUACUCGCAGAAGAAGCACCGGCUAACUCCGUGCCAGCAGCCGCGGUAAUAC